rnacentral:rRNA from 1 species
GAGUGAACGCUGGCGGUAGGCCUAACACAUGCAAGUCGAACGGCAGCACAGUAAGAGCUUGCUCUUACGGGUGGCGAGUGGCGGACGGGUGAGGAAUACAUCGGAAUCUACUUUUUCGUGGGGGAUAACGUAGGGAAACUUACGCUAAUACCGCAUACGACCUACGGGUGAAAGCAGGGGAUCUUCGGACCUUGCACGAUUGAAUGAGCCGAUGUCGGAUUAGCUAGUUGGCGGGGUAAAGGCCCACCAAGGCGACGAUCCGUAGCUGGUCUGAGAGGAUGAUCAGCCACACUGGAACUGAGACACGGUCCAGACUCCUACGGGAGGCAGCAGUGGGGAAUAUUGGACAAUGGGCGCAAGCCUGAUCCAGCCAUACCGCGUGGGUGAAGAAGGCCUUCGGGUUGUAAAGCCCUUUUGUUGGGAAAGAAAAGCAGCAGGUUAAUACCCCGCUGUUCUGACGGUACCCAAAGAAUAAGCACCGGCUAACUUCGUG